GCAAGCCCAAUUUUCCCCUUUUCCUAAGCAAUUCCCAGCUCACCAAACUACAACCACACAAUCAGUGAUCCAAACAUACCCAAUACCGUGCAACACAACACACAACGCACAACAAUACCAAAUCCGACCCCACUUGGCUUCUUCUUCUUCCUCUUCCAGACACGACUCAGAAAACCCUGAUAAAAAUAAUGCUUCUCCUCGCCUGCAGCGCCCAACCACUUGUCCAUCUUCUUUUUCCCUUUUUCAGAAGAAAUCUCCACCCCUUCUACUGUUGUCUUGAAAAGGAACGAUGAAUUUGAAUUUCAAAUUCAAUAAUUUCACCCGUUUCCUCCUAUUCGGCCCUAGUCUCUGUAUAAACCACUCCUACCCAUCGUUCGAAAGGGGGAGAGCAUAGGGAGAGGAACUUUCCCCUUCCGAGUCCAUGUGGGACCUCACUCUUGCAUCCUCAAGAUGAGCCAUAGAGGCUCAACAUCUCUCCAUCGAUGUCGGCCUCAAGUGAAUUUCGAAUUAAGAGCAGGUUUACAUGGGUUAGGGACAGGUUGCAAGUCUCAAAAAGCCCAAGAAGGGGGUUGCGUACCUGCUGUAUAUAGCAGUAUACACUGGUAUACAUGGAAAAAAUACAUGUUCAAAACGAAAAUACAGAUUGGAGGCGUCGAAGUGGAUUGUAUACAGUCGGUAUACAAUAUGAUAUAGAAGAAAAUGAGUCAGAAUAUGACUUGUAUGCAGAGUAUACACUUAACGUAUACACAGUUCUUUUAGAAGCGAGAAUGGGCAGAAACCCAAUAAGUUGCAGCAGGCCCAAAAAGGGCCCAAAUCUCUCUCUGCCUUACUCUUAAAUUAUUUGAUUACAAUUAUUUAUUGCUUGUUUCUUUAUCAACUCCUACUUUGGAAUUAUUAGAUAACUCAAUUAAAUUUCCAAAGAUGAACUAUAUUCUUUAUGUUGACAUAUGUGCGGGGUGGCCUGAUCUUUUUCUGUGUGACCGCGUAGCCUCCUCACUCGAGUUGUCCACUCGGGAACCUUGUGUCUAGUAAACCCACUCUUAGUCAACUCGCAGAGAGCUAAACCAGAUCUCUUUAAGCGCAUUGAACUAAGAUGACUCAACACCCAAGGUGUGUUGAGCCCAUUAGAGAGACCACCUUGAGUCCAAAAGGACCCACGACCCAAAUGGACGACCAUACUUAUGUGUUUAAAUUUGAAGGAUGUAUACGUCGUUUGACAAGCCAUUAUCUCUUCGGGUAGAGAUUCCCAUUCAUUUUAUUUAUAAAGCUUGUAUAAAUUUGGGUUUGGGACAAUUGAAUGUUUCACAAAGGAUA